AAAUUGAAGAGUUUGAUCAUGGCUCAGAUUGAACGCUGGCGGCAGGCCUAACACAUGCAAGUCGAACGGUAACAGGAAGCAGCUUGCUGCUUUGCUGACGAGUGGCGGACGGGUGAGUAAUGUCUGGGAAACUGCCUGAUGGAGGGGGAUAACUACUGGAAACGGUAGCUAAUACCGCAUAAUGUCGCAAGACCAAAGAGGGGGACCUUCGGGCCUCUUGCCAUCGGAUGUGCCCAGAUGGGAUUAGCUUGUUGGUGGGGUAACGGCUCACCAAGGCGACGAUCCCUAGCUGGUCUGAGAGGAUGACCAGCCACACUGGAACUGAGACACGGUCCAGACUCCUACGGGAGGCAGCAGUGGGGAAUAUUGCACAAUGGGCGCAAGCCUGAUGCAGCCAUGCCGCGUGUAUGAAGAAGGCCUUCGGGUUGUAAAGUACUUUCAGCGGGGAGGAAGGGAGUAAAGUUAAUACCUUUGCUCAUUGACGUUACCCGCAGAAGAAGCACCGGCUAACUCCGUGCCAGCAGCCGCGGUAAUACGGAGGGUGCAAGCGUUAAUCGGAAUUACUGGGCGUAAAGCGCACGCAGGCGGUUUGUUAAGUCAGAUGUGAAAUCCCCGGGCUCAACCUGGGAACUGCAUCUGAUACUGGCAAGCUUGAGUCUCGUAGAGGGGGGUAGAAUUCCAGGUGUAGCGGUGAAAUGCGUAGAGAUCUGGAGGAAUACCGGUGGCGAAGGCGGCCCCCUGGACGAAGACUGACGCUCAGGUGCGAAAGCGUGGGGAGCAAACAGGAUUAGAUACCCUGGUAGUCCACGCCGUAAACGAUGUCGACUUGGAGGUUGUGCCCUUGAGGCGUGGCUUCCGGAGCUAACGCGUUAAGUCGACCGCCUGGGGAGUACGGCCGCAAGGUUAAAACUCAAAUGAAUUGACGGGGGCCCGCACAAGCGGUGGAGCAUGUGGUUUAAUUCGAUGCAACGCGAAGAACCUUACCUGGUCUUGACAUCCACGGAAGUUUUCAGAGAUGAGAAUGUGCCUUCGGGAACCGUGAGACAGGUGCUGCAUGGCUGUCGUCAGCUCGUGUUGUGAAAUGUUGGGUUAAGUCCCGCAACGAGCGCAACCCUUAUCCUUUGUUGCCAGCGGUCCGGCCGGGAACUCAAAGGAGACUGCCAGUGAUAAACUGGAGGAAGGUGGGGAUGACGUCAAGUCAUCAUGGCCCUUACGACCAGGGCUACACACGUGCUACAAUGGCGCAUACAAAGAGAAGCGACCUCGCGAGAGCAAGCGGACCUCAUAAAGUGCGUCGUAGUCCGGAUUGGAGUCUGCAACUCGACUCCAUGAAGUCGGAAUCGCUAGUAAUCGUGGAUCAGAAUGCCACGGUGAAUACGUUCCCGGGCCUUGUACACACCGCCCGUCACACCAUGGGAGUGGGUUGCAAAAGAAGUAGGUAGCUUAACCUUCGGGAGGGCGCUUACCACUUUGUGAUUCAUGACUGGGGUGAAGUCGUAACAAGGUAACCGUAGGGGAACCUGCGGUUGGAUCACCUCCUUACCUUAAAGAAGC
rnacentral:rRNA from 1 species